rnacentral:rRNA from 1 species
UGCGCAGGCGGUUGUGUAAGACAGAUGUGAAAUCCCCGGGCUCAACCUGGGAACUGCAUUUGAAACUAUGUAGCUAGAGUUCUGUAGAGGGGGGUAGAAUUCCAGGUGUAGCGGUGAAAUGCGUAGAGAUCUGGAGGAAUACCGAUUGCGAAGGCAGCCCCCUGGACAGUGACUGACGCUCAUAUGCGAAAGCGUGGGGAUCAAACAGGAUUAGAUACCCUGGUA